GGCCAUUAUGCUUUUAGACUUCACCAGUAAUAGCAUCCAUAUAGAAAUCUUAUUUAUUUUAUUUUAAGGUGCAGCACUUAGGAGAUGAACAGCAAUCGCUACUGAUUUGAAUCUUCUGACAUGGGACCAGUAAGCGCAUCUGGUGAUGUUUCACGUCUUUUCUGGAAGAGGAAUCGAGCCAAUCAGCUUAUUUUAUGGUAGAUUUAGAAUUUGUGACUAUCUUUUAAAGAUGUCAUUUUGCCCCACAUUUUGAGAACAAUCUCAAAAAGAGGUCUUUACUGUGGAGCUAAAAGCAUGGCAGAUAUUCUCUAUCAUUCACCGUGACAUAAGUUUGUACCUCACAAAAUGCAUAGACAGGAAUUUAAUAUAAAGAAUUAGUCCAUUUACCGUAUACACAAAACAUAGAGCUUUUUGUUGUAACACUUUGUUGUUUGUGUUUUGGCAAAUCCAACAUUG
rnacentral:lncRNA from 1 species